rnacentral:rRNA from 1 species
UACGUAGGGGGCAAGCGUUGUCCGGAUUCAUUGGGCGUAAAGAGCGUGUAGGCGGCCAGGUAGGUCGGUUGUGAAAACUGGAGGCUCAACCUUCAGACGUCGACCGAAACCAUCUGGCUAGAGUCCGGGAGAGGAGAGUGGAAUUCCUGGUGUAGCGGUGAAAUGCGCAGAUAUCAGGAAGAACACCCGUGGCGAAAGCGGCGCACUGGACCAUAACUGACGCUGAUGCGCGAAAGCUAGGGGAGCAAACAGG